CCGUACUAGCCGGGGAGAUAGCGGUGCCCUGUACCUGCAAUCCGCUACAGCAGGGGUGAAUAUCAUUAUGAGGGUAUUGAUAGUGUGGCUGGUGUUUGUAAGUAGUGAUGAAGAUUUGGUCUUAUGCAAUACUGUGUUGUGAACCUCGUCAGGUCGGGAACGAAGCAGCGAUAAGCAAUUUCGGGUAUGUGCCGUAAGGUUGCCGAAUCCGAGCCGGCUGCAAAAGUUCCGCAUAUUAUUGGUAUUCGAGUUUUGAUUGUACGG
rnacentral:SRP_RNA from 1 species